CCUAGUUGAUCUUGCCAGUAGUCAUAUGCUUGUCUCAAAGAUUAAGCCAUGCAUGUGUAAGUAUGAACUAAUUUAGAUUGUGAAACUACGAAUGGCUCAUUAAAUCAAUUAUAGUUUGUUUGAUAGUAUCUACUACUCGGAUAACUGUAGUAAUUCUAGAGCUAAUACAUGCAAUAAACCCUGACUUUUGGAAGGGACGCAUUUAUUAGAUAAAAGGUUGAUGCGGGCUAUGCCUGUUGCUCUGAUGAUUCAUGAUAACUUGACAGAUCGCAUGGCCUAUGUACCGGUGACGCAUCAUUCAAAUUUUUACCUAUCAAUUUUCGAUGGUAGGAUAGUGGCCUACUAUGGUGGUGACGGGUGACGGAGAAUUAGGGUUCGAUUUCGAAGAGGGAGCUUGAGAAAUGGCUCCCACAUCCAAGGAAGGCAGCAGGUGUGUAAAUUACCCAAUCAUGACACGAAGAGGUAGUGACAAUAAAUAACAAUACGGGGCUCUAUGAGUCCGAUAAUUGGAAUGAGUACAAUCUAAAUCCCUUAACGAAGAUCCAUUGAAGGGCAAGUCUGGUGCCAGCAAUCGCAGUAAUUCUAGCUCUAAUAGCAUAUAUUUAAGUUGUUGCAAUUAAAAAGCUCGUAGUUGGAACUAGGGUUAGGUCGUUCGAUCCACCUCACGGUGAGCAUCGGUCUACUUGUCCCUACUGUUGGCGAUGCACUCUUAGACUUAAUUACCUCGAGUCGUUCCUCCGACCCUGUUACUUUGAAGAAAUUAAAGUCCUCAAAGCAAGCCUACGCUUGUAUACAUUAGCAUGGGAUAACAUCAUAGGAUUUCGGUCCUAUUGUGUUGGCCUUCGGGAUCAGAGUAAUGAUUAAUAGGGAUAGUCGAGGGCAUUUGUAUUUCAUAGUCAGAGGUGAAAUUCUUGGAUUUAUGUAAGACAAACAACUGCGAAAGCAUUUGCCAAGGAUGUUUUCAUUAAUCAAGAACGAAAGUUGGGGGCUCAAAGACAAUCAGAUACCAUCCUAAUCUCAACCAUAAAUGAUGUCGAUGAGGGAUCGACGGAUGUUACUUUUAGGACUCCAUCGUUACCUUAUGAGAAAUCAAAGUCUUUGGGUUCCGGGGGGAGUAUGGUCACAAGGCUGAAACUUAAAGGAAUUGAUGGAAGGGCACCACCAGGAGUGGAGCCUGUGGCUUAAUUUGACUCAACACGAGGAAACUUACCAGGUCCAGACAUAGUAAGGAUUGACAGACUGAGAGCUCUUUCUUGAUUCUAUGGGUGGUGGUGCAUGGCUGUUCUUAGUUGGUGAAGCAAUUUGUCUGGUUAAUUCUGUUAACGAACUAGACCUUAGCCUGCUAACUAGCUACGCGGAGGUGAUCUUUCAUGGCUAGCUUCUUAGAGGGACUAUGGCCACUUAGGUCAAGGAAGUUUAAGGCAAUAAUAGGUCUGUGAUGCCCUUAGAUGUUCUGGGCUGCACGCGCGCUACACUGAUGUAUUCAACGGGUUUAUAGCCUUAGCCAAUAGGCUCGGGUAAUCUUUGAAAUUUCAUUGUGAUGGGGAUAGAUCAUUGCAAUUGUUGGUCUUCAACGAGAAAUUCCUAGUAAGCGUGAAUCAUUAGCUCGCGUUGACUAUGUCCCUGCCUUUUGUACACACCGCCCGUCGCUCCUACUGAUUGAAUGGUUCGGUGAAGUGUUCGGAUUACAAUGACGUGGACGGUCCAUCACCCGUGAUGUCGUGAGAAGUCCACUGAACCUUAUCAUUUAGAGGAAGGAAAAGUCGUAACAAGGUUUUUGUAGCUGAACCUAUGGAAG
rnacentral:rRNA from 1 species